GAUGAACGCUGGCGGCGUGCCUAAUACAUGCAGGUAGAACGCUGAAGGAGGAGCUUGCUCUUCUGGAUGAGUUGCGAACGGGUGAGUAACGCGUAGGUAACCUGCCUGGUAGCGGGGGAUAACUAUUGGAAACGAUAGCUAAUACCGCAUGACAACAGUUAUUGCAUGAUAACUGUUUAAAAGGGGCAACUGCUCCACUACCAGAUGGACCUGCGUUGUAUUAGCUAGUUGGUGAGGUAACGGCGCACCAAGGCGACGAUACAUAGCCGACCUGAGAGGGGGGUCGGCCACACUGGGAGGGAGACACGGCACAGACUCCUACAGGAGGGAGCAGUAGGGAAUCGUCGGCAAGGGACGGAAGUCUGACCGAGAAACGCCGCGGGAGUGAAGAAGGUUGUCGGAUCGGAAAGCUCUGUUGUAAGAGAAGAACGAGUGUGAGAGUGGAAAGUUCACACUGUGACGGUAACUGAUCGGAAAGGGACGGCUAACUACGUG
rnacentral:rRNA from 1 species